GAUGAACGCUGGCGGCGUGCCUAAUACAUGCAAGUCGAGCGAACGGACGAGAAGCUUGCUUCUCUGAUGUUAGCGGCGGACGGGUGAGUAACACGUGGAUAACCUACCUAUAAGACUGGGAUAACUUCGGGAAACCGGAGCUAAUACCGGAUAAUAUUUUGAACCGCAUGGUUCAAAAGUGAAAGACGGUCUUGCUGUCACUUAUAGAUGGAUCCGCGCUGCAUUAGCUAGUUGGUAAGGUAACGGCUUACCAAGGCAACGAUGCAUAGCCGACCUGAGAGGGUGGUCGGCCACACUGGGACUGAGACACGGUCCAGACUCCUACGGGAGGCAGCAGUAGGGAAUCUUCCGCAAUGGGCGAAAGCCUGACGGAGCAACGCCGCGUGAGUGAUGAAGGUCUUCGGAUCGUAAAACUCUGUUAUUAGGGAAGAACAUAUGUGUAAGUAACUGUGCACAUCUUGACGGUACCUAAUCAGAAAGCCACGGCUAACUACGUGC
rnacentral:rRNA from 1 species